CGGACUGUUGAGACAGCUUCUCCUUAAAUGACUUGAAUGUUCAGUUGAAAUCUCGGAGCUUGCUUUUUCCACCUAUAUAUAAUACACAUUGAUAUAUAUAUAUAUAUUCUGAAGUUGUUAAGAUGGAUUGACAAAAGGAAAGCAAACGAUGCUGGUAACUUUUGUAAGAUGUUUCCAUUGGAGUACCUUGUGUAGGAACAAUCCCAUUGGUAACGCAGAGGGGGAGGAACGCCAAGAGUUUGGGCUUACUUUAACCAGCAGUUGAUGUAACCGUGUCGUUUGGGGCAGGAAGGGGAUGGGGGAUUAUUCAUCCAUAAGUGAAACAAGUUAGGAAAUGUUCAAAGCGGUCCAUAUUCGGGGAAAAGAAAACAAAAACCCAGUAAGUACCUCUCGACACCACUCAGAAAUAAAGAAAGGUGUGAUUUCCUAAUGACAUUUCUAAGGCAGUUUGUCUUCCUGUAAGAGUUCUCUUGCCAAGGAAUCUCUCAUCUCUCACUCGUUCUGUCCCGGAGGAGGGAAUCGGGCUUGGAAAGAUUCGUCACGUUUUGCUGUUCAGCAGAAAAUGAUCCUUUUUUACAUUUUGUGCGAGAUAUUUUACGUUUUAAAGAUGGUAAUUUUAAAACUGAGCACUACAUAAUGUCAAUGUGAAUGUAGGCCUUGAAAGCAUCUUGCUCGGUGUUGAGCCUGGUUCUAAAAGCAAUCUCCUGUGUACAAUGUGUGAAUAGUUUGAUAAUUUGUAUACAUAAUCAAGAGCAUCUGAUCAGCUGAACUCCGUGUUGGCUGCUGUAUAGAACAUGAACAAAUGUCAUGGGAUAGAAAAAUUACUUUGGAUAUUUAAAAGAAAAAUAAAUAUAUAGUCUAUUUGUUUUGUAACAAGUUUCUGUAAAUAAAAUAAUUUAUACUAUUUAUAAGAAAAAGUUGUGCUUUGCUUCAUGACAGAGAUUAGUUUGUUGAACAAACAUGUUACUAAACAAGGCAAUAAAAUUAGGACUUUUCAAUAAAUGAGGUUGGUUGCAUGGAAC
ensembl:lncRNA